CCGCGGGUACCCGAGCGAUCCCCCCUCCCCGGCCGCAGCCGCUGCCGCUCAUGCGUUGUGCCUCCACCUCCUCCUCGCCCGGGGCCGGGUCUUCAAGGAAGCGCGCACAGGAAAAAAAAAAACAAACCACCAACAGAACCGCUAUGGAGAGAAGUCGACAAAAAAAAAAAUGGCUUGGUUUCCCAGCCCGGGAUCUUCCUGGCCUCUUGCUGCCCUCCGCUCAAGCCAAGUCCGCCGCUGCCCUGGCGGGUGGUACUUACACGCGCCCCCCCUCCAUGCGCCCCCGGCUCAGGGCGGGCGGGCGGCGCUCCCCUCUGCCCUGCGCGGCGAAGGGGCCGUCAGUGGCGGGAGGGCGCGGGCAUCCCUGCCCGCUGCUCCACGGGGAUCAGCGCCCCGGCGCUACUCUGGGGCAUCCGCGCCGCUCGGCCGGGCGCGGGGCUGGUGGCGGCGCUGGGAGGAGGUGGCGACGGGGCUCGGCGCGGCGCGGGGCACAGGCAGGGUUCCCCGGGACGAUCUCCAUGAACAGCUACAUGUUUAGGGCCGCUCGGGUUAAUAUAUGUCGUCAGAAGCGGCGGCCGCCAAUGGCUGGCGGCUGGGGCGGGGUCCGCCGCCCUCCGCAAUAAAACUUUUUGAUGUUCGCUCUGCUAAUUGCCGAGCUCCUCUUUUAGGAUUGGCUGCCCCUCCGCAUCCAUAAUGUAAUUAAAACAAGGGGGGAAAAAUUAUCAUGGAGGCAGAGGUUAAUGCAAGUGUUUAGCAGAUGCUUUACUGUAAAAUCUGCAUUAAAAAAAAAAAAACAAAAAAAAAAAUCCAAAAACCAAAACCCAAAACCAAUAACAACAAAAACCCAACAAACGCAUAAAAACCUAAAUAUCGGACAAUCUCAAACCAGCCCGCUGCCUGCUGCUACGCACCCCGACCUGCACUCACCCAGCGAACGGCUCCGGCAACAGGUUUCAAGCUCCUUUAACUGGUCUGAUGGGAAAGUAACUGAAGAAGCCGGAAAAUUGAGAACUGAAUGUCACGUACCUCCUCAGACCUGCAGGGAAACCCAGCCGUGACCAAAACAUUGGGUGUAAAUGCGACAACAAAAAUAAAUACUUUACAUCACCGAGCAGAACAUAUUUUACGAAGUCAACGCUUUGUUUUUCUGCUUCUCGUUUUUUCCUUU